rnacentral:rRNA from 1 species
ACCCGCUGAACUUAAGCAUAUCAAUAAGCGGAGGAAAAGAAACCAACAGGGAUUGCCCUAGUAACGGCGAGUGAAGCGGCAACAGCUCAAAUUUGAAAUCUGGCGCAAGCCCGAGUUGUAAUUUGUAGAGGAUGCUUCUGGGCAGCGGCCGGUCUAAGUUCCUUGGAACAGGACGUCAUAGAGGGUGAGAAUCCCGUAUGCGACCGGUUGGCACCCGUCACGUAGCUCCUUCGACGAGUCGAGUUGUUUGGGAAUGCAGCUCUAAAUGGGUGGUAAAUUCCAUCUAAAGCUAAAUACCGGCCAGAGACCGAUAGCGCACAAGUAGAGUGAUCGAAAGAUGAAAAGCACUUUGGAAAGAGAGUUAAAAAGCACGUGAAAUUGUUGAAAGGGAAGCGCAUGCAACCAGACUUGUCGGCGGUGUUCCGCCGGUCUUCUGACCGGUCUACUCGCCGCCGGCAGGCCAGCAUCGUGUGGGUGCGCCGGAUAAAGGCGCCGGGAAUGUGGCCCCUCGGGGUGUUAUAGCCCGGCGUAUAAUACGGCGCCGCCCGCGCGAGGUCCGCGCUUCGGCUAGGAUGCUGGCGUAAUGGUUGU